AACGAACGCUGGCGGCAUGCCUAACACAUGCAAGUCGAACGAAACCUUCGGGUCCAGUGGCGCACGCGUGCGUAACGCGUCGUAACCUGCCCCUAGAGUCGCAAUAACUCCCCGAAAGGGGUGCUAAUACCGGAUAAUGUCCUCGGACCAAAGAUUUAUCGCCCUUGGAUGGGGCCGCGUUGGAGUAGCUAGUUGGUAGGGUAAAAGCCUACCAAGGCGAACAUGCAUAGCUGGUCCGAGAGGAUGCUCAGCCACACUGGGACUCAGACCCGGCCCGGACCCCUACGGGAGGCAGAAGUGGGGAAUACUGGACACUGGCCGCAGGCGUGAUCCAGCAAUGCCAGGUGAGUGAUGAAGGGCUUAGCGUUGUACAGCCCUUUUCUCCGGGAUGAUACUGACAGUACCGGGAGAAUAAGCACCGGCUAACUCCGUG
rnacentral:rRNA from 1 species